GCUGCAGGGAGCACUCUGCUACGUGAGGACUGGAGGGAUAAGCAGAGCUUCUCACCCAAAUCUGGAUGAAGGAUUGCACGUUAACAUGCUUUCCCUUUCUUCCCCUCCCUUCCACUCCCCUCCCAAAAGUAUCUGGCAGUGAAAGAAGGAUGAAGGAAGCAGAUGGGAAAAACAGAGGAAGAAAAGAAAAAGGAGACUUUCGUCUUCAUGUGUAAAUUUUCUGGAGUUUAAAGACACAUGACUUCGAUGUUACUGAGAUUGUGUCAUAAUCAUCAAACGGAGCCCGUGCCAAACAAACCAGAUGGAGCUUUCAAUCAACAAGCUGCAUUUAUUAUUGAUAUCUGUGGCUUAUUUGUUAUCCAUGCACCUUUUAACAGCAUAAGAUUUCAGAUUCUGCAUGAGAAGUUAAUAUCUGAGUAUGGGAGAGUCACCUCUGUGGAUUGAUCUGGUGGCCCAGUCCAGCACCACUCACCUCUCCACACCCAGCACUGUAAUCAGCAAGUCUCUACACAGAGCACAAGAGUUAAGCAAUCAGG